UACGAAGGGUGCAAACGUUGCUCGGAAUCAUUGGGCGUAAAGCGCACGUAGGCGGCCCAGCAAGUUGGAUGUGAAAUCCCUCGGCUCAACCGAGGACGUGCAUCCAAAACUGCUGGGCUUGAGUACUGAAGAGGAUCGCGGAAUUCCCGGUGUAGAGGUGAAAUUCGUAGAUAUCGGGAGGAACACCAGUGGCGAAGGCGGCGAUCUGGGCAGAUACUGACGCUGAGGUGCGAAAGCGUGGGGAG
rnacentral:rRNA from 1 species